AUGAUCAUGGCAAUUUCACAAAUGGUGCACCACGGGAGGUCUGCUGAUUGUUGGUCCAAGCACAGCUUUAAAUUCCGAGGAUUGCACGCGGCUCUGCGGCAAUGGGCGAACAGGAAAGGAAACCUGCACCUGCUGAUCUCAAACAAUAAGUUGGUGCCUGAUUGCCUCAAUGCGGUGGAAGAAAGGAGGCAUUUAUCUGACUCUGAGUUUCUUCUCCGUGUGCACGCAACAAGGAAGUUGGAGUCAUUACUCAAAUGGCAGCCCAUGUACUGGAAACAGAGGUCCAAGCUUAAUUGGUGCCGCAGCAAUUAUCAUGCUAAAAGGAAUUUUUUCGGAAUCAAGCUAGUAAAGAGGGUGGGGUGGAGCAUUUCGAGAUUUCUGACAAGCUGA
rnacentral:rRNA from 1 species